CAACCCUCAAGCCCCCGCGGCUUGGUGUUGGGGGCCUGCGCACCGCAGCCCCCUAAAGACAGCGGCGGGCGUGGCCUGGCACCGAACGUAGUAGACUCUCUCUCGUUCGCGGUCCAGGGCGCGCUCCGGCCGGUAAACCCCCAUCUUUUUACAAU
rnacentral:misc_RNA from 1 species